rnacentral:rRNA from 1 species
AACGGUGACACGGAGCUUGCUCUGUGGGAUCAGUGGCGAACGGGUGAGUAACACGUGAGCAACCUGCCCCUGACUCUGGGAUAAGCGCUGGAAACGGCGUCUAAUACUGGAUAUGUGACGUGAUCGCAUGGUCUGCGUCUGGAAAGAAUUUCGGUUGGGGAUGGGCUCGCGGCCUAUCAGCUUGUUGGUGAGGUAAUGGCUCACCAAGGCGUCGACGGGUAGCCGGCCUGAGAGGGUGACCGGCCACACUGGGACUGAGACACGGCCCAGACUCCUACGGGAGGCAGCAGUGGGGAAUAUUGCACAAUGGGCGCAAGCCUGAUGCAGCAACGCCGCGUGAGGGAUGACGGCCUUCGGGUUGUAAACCUCUUUUAGCAGGGAAGAAGCGAAAGUGACGGUACCUGCAGAAAAAGCGCCGGCUAACUACGUGCCAGCAGCCGCGGUAAUACGUAGGGCGCAAGCGUUAUCCGGAAUUAUUGGGCGUAAAGAGCUCGUAGGCGGUUUGUCGCGUCUGCUGUGAAAUCCGGAGGCUCAACCUCCGGCCUGCAGUGGGUACGGGCAGACUAGAGUGCGGUAGGGGAGAUUGGAAUUCCUGGUGUAGCGGUGGAAUGCGCAGAUAUCAGGAGGAACACCGAUGGCGAAGGCAGAUCUCUGGGCCGUAACUGACGCUGAGGAGCGAAAGGGUGGGGAGCAAACAGGCUUAGAUACCCUGGUAGUCCA